UCCAUUAACAGCAAUUCUAUUUUCUAUGCUUCAGGUUUUUUUUUUUGCAAUUUCAAACUGAAAUUACAGAAACAAAAUGAUUCACAUACCCAACUGAUUCUCCCCACACCGCUUCUUCCACUUCUUUUCAUCAAACAAACAAACCUCAUGUUCAACCACGUUUCCGAUUUCCCUUCUUCCGGCGCCGCUUCUAUCCGGCGCCGCUUCUAUCCAUCAAACAAACUUUCUUUAAUCUUUCAAUCCCCUUUUCCCUAUUCAAAAUCCCCCCCAGACCUAUUACUUUGUGAAUUAAUUAUUAUAAACUCAACUGCAUCUCCCUUCUUUGUCUAUUUCUUAUUUGGAGGAAACGAAAAAAUAAAAAAUAUUCUAUCUAUUAUUUCACAAAUUCUGUUUCCUUCGACGCCAACGAAGACAUCCGAAGAACACCGUCCCCUUCCUACCGUUUCAAGGAAAAAUAAUAUUCGCUCCUUAAUUGUCGGUGUGGACAAACAAGAAUACCAAAACACAAUCAAAAUAUUGAGGUACAGUCCAAACCUUAUUUGUUUUUAUGUUUUCCCUCCAAAUAAGAACUUACAAUGUCAAUAUUCUUGGAUAGUAUAAUUUUUCCCCUAAUCAAUAACUAAGUAUGUAAAGAUUUUAAAACACUUUUAAAAAUCCAAAAAUUUCGCAUUAAUAUGAUUUUUUCACAAUUGAUACGAACCUUGUCGCUGAUAUGGAGUAAAAGAAUAUUUUGUUACUAUUCUGAGAAAAUUGUUACGAGAUAAUUUACCUAUCCUUAAUGAAAAUCACCCAAAUAAUAGAUUCCUCAGACUGUCCAAUUGUCAAUGAGACCGAAACUUGAAAUUUUUGUUAAUAUUGUGGACUCUCUCCACUUUUUGAAGAUGUUGUGUGUAAAUAAACUGAUUUCUUUUCCAUAAAAGUUUUUUCCCAUAAGAAAAAUUUAGCUUCCACUUUUAGAUGUUGUAUGUAUUUAAUUUAGUUUACCAUUAUUAUUCUGUUAUGUUUUCCUUCCAAAUAAGAACUUAUAUUGUCAAUAUUAUUGGAUAGUAUAAUUUAUUUACACUAAUCAAUAAAUAAGGAUGUAAAGAUUCUAAAACACUUUCAAAAAUACAAAAAAAUUUCACUACUAUGAUUUUUUCCCGAUUGAUACUAACUGUGCCGUUGAUAUGAAGUAAGGUUUGUAGGCGCUGUCGUACGAAUUCAAAGAAUGCUUUAUUACUGAUAAUUUCUUUCCGAGUAAAGUUUAAGAACAACGUCUUUAAAUAUUCUAGAAUACUAUAAUUUUAUCCCUAAUGAAUAGUUAAUGAGCUCUGUAACUAUUUUCCCCCAAAAAUCAUAAUUAAAUCUAUUACUAUUCUGAAAUACUAUAAUUAUUUACCUAUUAAAUUAUUAUUUAUUUUUACUAAGUGCCUACCUUGUAUGGAGUAUUUUUUCCUCCUACCAAAGUUCGACAACAUUGUCUUUAAAUGUCGAUUAUAUAUAGAUUAUUGGAAGAUUAAUAUUAUUAUAUUUGUUAUGCUUAAUUCUUUUGCGUUUAGGUAGAUUAGCAUUAUUAAAUAUAGAUGGUUGCUAUAUUACCGCUACUAUACUUUUCUUGCUCUACUUUUUUUUGUGUAAGAUUAGUAUUAUUAUAUUUGUUACGCUUAACUCUUUUGCGUUUAGGUAGAUUAGCAUCUAUACAAGGGCAGCUUAACAAGAUUUGUGGCCUAAAGCCAAAGUUUAAUUGGAGGCCUUAAGCUUAAACAAAAAAUUUCAAUUUUUAUUUGAAGUCUAUUUUUUUUGCUUUUUGAGAUGCAAAAUUGUUAAUAAUUUUUUUUAUAAUUGAUUUCUUCUAAUAAUUCUCUCUCAAGUGAUAAUAUAGCUAAUCUUUCUUAAGACAUUGUUGAUUUUAGGCAAGAUUUUAUUAAUUAUAGUUUUGAAAAAAUUCCUUUCGGUGAGGCAAUUAUUAUAGGAACUGUUAACAUUAUUCUAUAAUAAAUAUAAGCAUUUGAAAAGGAAUCAAGUUUUUUUAUCUGAUUGAAUAUAUAUCAAUUAGAGUAUUAUCUUUAACUUGAUUCUUUUCUUUUUACCACGAAAUAGAAAACCAAAAAUACUUCCAUACGCUUCAAAUUGUUCAGAUCUAUAUUGAAGUGAAAAAAUGGCUUGAUCUACUAUGUAUAAGAACUAAUCAACUCUAAAAGAUUGUUCAAGAGACUUUGUGGUUUUAUUAUCAUUAUUUACAUUAAAUUAUUUCUUUAUAUAUAUAUUAUGCGUUUAUUUCAAAUUGUUCUCAAUAUUUUCUUCUAAAUAGUGAUACGCCUACGAUUUCUAAAAAUGGGACCCCUCAAAUUUGGGUGCCUAAAGCGACCUUUUUAAUUGCUUCGCGUUUGAGCCGCCCCUUGCAUCUAUAUAUGAAUAUAAAUCUAAAAUCUAAAACUGGAAAUGAAAAAGGUGAUGUGACACUUCCUAUGUUGAGCAUUAGUAUUUAUCUAAUUUUUCCUUUUUCCUACAUUUUCUUCUUCAUUCUACUAUAGAACAAAUAAACCGGUUAAAAAAAAAAAAGACAUAGUGUUGCUUCUGAAAGGUCACAUUAAUAACGUAAGACUAACCGUUAUGCUUCUGGAGUCGAACCCAAAUAAAUUACAUUUAGUAUAGGCUUUGGUCAGGUCUUUCACCGUAUUUCUUCUCCCUCCAAUAUCCACCAUGGAAAGUGCAUCAAUUCUAAACAAACUGAAGUAUGGGUAUGUCUCCUUAUUCUGUCUUGCAAUAUAGUUCUUCUUCAUUUUCUGAAAUUAUUAACAAUGAUAUGAUUGCUUAAAUAAAAGUAUUGCUAUUCUUCUUUGUAUGUAGUUUCAAUUUUGCAGAAAUGGAGACUUGCCCCCCACCGGAAGUUUUAAUUGCAACGCUUCUUACUAAUUUUCUCCAUCUCAGAGCCAUUUCACUUCUGUGUAGAAGAAUUAUGUCUUCUCCAUUUUCAGUAGAAGCUUUUUAUGAUUGCCUUCAAUUUUAUGUCCUUUUAAUCUACUAUUAGUCAUGACUCACACUAUAACAUUCUUAUGACCAUGUUCCCUCACCUCUAAUUUUUCAUCCAUAUUUCAUAUCCCCAACAAAAACAAAAACAUUGUACCAGGUUCCCUCAACAUUAUGUCAAUUUACAGUAAAAAUGGGAGAUUUUCCAUACAGGACAAGAGUGGGUCUCUGCAAACUUCAAUCUGUUUAUGUGAUGACGCUUCCAACUCUUGAACGGCAUAUCCAGGUACUUCUGGACACAUCGGUUGCUAGUUUUCAGAGUUUUAUCUAUUGGAGAUUAUCGAGGUAGCUGUUUGGCGUCCGCAGACCUUGACUCUCUUUCCUUUUAGUUUUUUUAUUGUUCUAUAUUUUCAGGCAGUGUUUUUAGCAGUCAAACUUUCUUAUCAUUUAGAUGCUCAUGUACUCAGUGACACCGGGUUUUGUGAGUAUUUAUAUUUGUACU